AUGGGGCGGUUUGAAGGCUGCGAUGAAUUGUGGUAUGUGAAUGUUGCUUUGGAGCAUGGUCGAGUGUCUUUACUGGCGAGUGUGGGCGAAUGGGUGUUUCACAUUGACAGUGAUGGAAAAUUGGUGGACAGUUUUCAUCGUGGUGUCGGAAGCCUCUGUGGGUAUGGAUUUCGGCUCAAACAAUCUCUUGUUCCGCACAGUUUCUUUGGCACUCGAAGUCUCUGUUGCGAGCACUUCACCUUUCAUCUGAUGGUGGUUGAGUGUGAGGCGGUGCUUCUUAACUGCGUGUUUUUCGCAUCCUCUAGGCUGGAAUACCUUUCAAUCAGACCAAGUAUGAGCGGGCUGGCUUCUUCUUUUUUACUUUGA
rnacentral:rRNA from 1 species